rnacentral:rRNA from 1 species
AGUGAACGCUGGCGGCGGGCCUAAUACAUGCAAGUCGAGCGAACACACAAUGAGCUUUCUCCUCUAACGGUAGCGACUGACGGGUGGGUAACACAUAGAUAACCUACCUAUAUUACGUGGAGAACUUCGGGGAACCGGUUCUGAUACCACAUCAUAUAUUGAACCGCAUGAAUCAAGGGUUAAACGCGCUUUUGCUGUCACUUAGAGAUGGUUCCGCGUCGCAUUGGCUAGUUGGUAAGGUAACGGCCUACCAAGGCAACGAUGCGUAGCCGACCUGAGAGGGUGAUCGGCCACACUGGAACUGAGACACGGUCCAGACUCCUACGGGAGGCAGCAGUAGGGAAUCUUCGGCAAUGGGCGAAAGCCUGACGCAGCCACGCCGCGUGAGUGAAGAAGGUCUUCGGAUCGUAAAACCCUGUUAUUAGGAAAGAAAAAAUGUGUAAGUAAAUAUCCCCGUUUUGACGGUACCCAAACAGAAAGCACCGGCUAACUACGUG